rnacentral:rRNA from 1 species
CCUACGGGUGGCAGCAGUCGGGAAUAUUGCGCAAUGGAGGAAACUCUGACGCAGUGACGCCGCGUGCAGGAAGAAGGUUUUCGGAUUGUAAACUGCUUUAGACAGGGAAGAAAAACGACAGUACCUGGAGAAUAAGCGCCGGCUAACUACGUGCCAGCAGCCGCGGUAAGACGUAGGGAGCAAGCGUUAUCCGGAUUUAGUGGGUGUACAGGGUGCGUAGACGGAGAAGCAAGGUAGUUGGGAACUCCCUCGGCUUAACUGAGGAACUGCAACUAAAACACCUGCCCUUGCGUACUGGAGAGGCAAGUGGACUUCCUCGUGUAGCGGUGAAAUGCGUCGAUAUUAGGAGGAACACCAGUGGCGAACGCGACUUUCUGGACAGUACCUGACGUUGUGGCACGAACGUGUGGGGAGCAAACAGGAUUAGAUACCCUUGUAGUC